AGAGUUUGAUCAUGGCUCAGAAUCAACGCUGGCGGCGUGCCUCAGACAUGCAAGUCGAACGCGAAAGUCCCCUUCGGGGGGCAAGUAGAGUGGCGCACGGGUGAGUAACACGUAGGUAAUCUACCUUUGGAUUGGGAAUAACCACCGGAAACGGUGGCUAAUACCGAAUAAUGCAGCGGCACCUAAUGGUGACAGUUGUUAAAGCGGGGGAUCGCAAGACCUCGCGUCUGAAGAGGAGCCUGCGGCAGAUUAGCUAGUUGGUAAGGUAACGGCUUACCAAGGCGAUGAUCUGUAGCCGGCCUGAGAGGGCGGUCGGCCACACUGACACUGACAUACGGGUCAGACUCCUACGGGAGGCAGCAGUCGGGAAUUUUGGGCAAUGGGCGAAAGCCUGACCCAGCAACGCCGCGUGAAGGAUGAAAUCCUUCGGGAUGUAAACUUCGCAAGAACGGGAAGAAUAAGUAAGAGUUAAUAUCUCUUAUGAUGACGGUACUGUUUGUAAGCUCCGGCUAACUCCGUGCCAGCAGCCGCGGUAAUAC
rnacentral:rRNA from 1 species